GAUGAACGCUAGCUACAGGCUUAACACAUGCAAGUCGAGGGGCAGCACAGUGUAGCAAUACACGGGUGGCGACCGGCGCACGGGUGCGUAACGCGUAUCCAACCUUCCCGAUACUCUUGGAUAGCCUUCCGAAAGGGAGAUUAAUACAAGAUGGUGUUUCACUUUCGCAUGUUAUUGAAACUAAAGAUUUAUCGGUAUCGGAUGGGGAUGCGUGACAUUAGAUAGUAGGCGGGGUAACGGCCCACCUAGUCUACGAUGUCUAGGGGUUCUGAGAGGAAGGUCCCCCACACUGGAACUGAGACACGGUCCAG
rnacentral:rRNA from 1 species